rnacentral:rRNA from 1 species
UACGUAGGGCGCAAGCGUUGUCCGGAAUUAUUGGGCGUAAAGAGCUCGUAGGCGGUCUGUCGCGUCUGCCGUGAAAACCCGAGGCUUAACCUCGGGCUGGCGGUGGAUACGGGCAGACUAGAGGUAGGUAGGGGAGAAUGGAAUUCCCGGUGUAGCGGUGAAAUGCGCAGAUAUCGGGAAGAACACCCGUGGCGAAGGCGGCUCUCUGGGACGUGACUGACGCUGAGACGCGAAAGCGUGGGGAGCGAACAGG